rnacentral:rRNA from 1 species
AGGGUUUGAUCAUGGCUCAGAUUGAACGCUGGCGGCAUGCCUUACACAUGCAAGUCGAACGGUAACAGGUCUUCGGAUGCUGACGAGUGGCGAACGGGUGAGUAAUACAUCGGAACGUGCCCGAGAGUGGGGGAUAACGAAGCGAAAGCUUUGCUAAUACCGCAUACGAUCUCAGGAUGAAAGCAGGGGACCGCAAGGCCUUGCGCUCACGGAGCGGCCGAUGGCAGAUUAGGUAGUUGGUGGGAUAAAAGCUUACCAAGCCGACGAUCUGUAGCUGGUCUGAGAGGACGACCAGCCACACUGGGACUGAGACACGGCCCAGACUCCUACGGGAGGCAGCAGUGGGGAAUUUUGGACAAUGGGCGCAAGCCUGAUCCAGCCAUGCCGCGUGCAGGAUGAAGGCCUUCGGGUUGUAAACUGCUUUUGUACGGAACGAAAAGACUCUGGUUAAUACCUGGGGUCCAUGACGGUACCGUAAGAAUAAGCACCGGCUAACUACGUGCCAGCAGCCGCGGUAAUACGUAGGGUGCGAGCGUUAAUCGGAAUUACUGGGCGUAAAGCGUGCGCAGGCGGUUAUAUAAGACAGAUGUGAAAUCCCCGGGCUCAACCU